UACGAAGGGGGCUAGCGUUGUUCGGAAUCACUGGGCGUAAAGCGCACGUAGGCGGAUCUUUAAGUCAGGGGUGAAAUCCCGAGGCUCAACCUCGGAACUGCCUUUGAUACUGGGGAUCUCGAGUCCGGGAGAGGUGAGUGGAACUGCGAGUGUAGAGGUGAAAUGCGCAGAUAUCAGGAAGAACACCCGUGGCUAAGGCGGCUCUCUAGUACGGUACUGACGCUGAGACGCGAAAGCGUGGGGAGCGAACAGG
rnacentral:rRNA from 1 species